UGGGGAAUAUUGGACAAUGGGGGGAACCCUGAUCCAGCAAUGCCGCGUGUGUGAAGAAGGCCUGAGGGUUGUAAAGCACUUUCAGAGGGGAGGAGGACUAUUAGGUUAAGAGCUAGAUAGUUGGACGUUACCCUCAGAAGCAGCACCGGCUAACUCCGUGCCAGCAGCCGCGGUAAUACGGGGGGUGCAAGCGUUAAUCGGAAUUAUUGGGCGUAAAGGGCGCGUAGGCGGCAAUUCAAGUCAUCUGUGAAAUCUCCGGGCUUAACUCGGAACGGUCAGAUGAUACUGCUUUGCUAGAGUGCAGAAGGGGCAAUCGGAAUUCUUGGUGUAGCGGUGAAAUGCGUAGAUAUCAAGAGGAACACCUGAGGUGAAGACGGGUUGCUGGGCUGACACUGACGCUGAGGCGCGAAAGCCAGGGGAGCAAACGGGAUUAGAUACCCAAGUAGUCCCUGAGCGGGCUGGCAAGGCGCAU
rnacentral:rRNA from 1 species